GGAUAACCUACCCUUAGGACUGGGAUAACCCUGGGAAACUGGGGAUAAUACCGGAUAGGCAAUUUUUCCUGGAAUGGUUUUUUGUUUAAAUGUUUUUUCGCCUAAGGAUGGGUCUGCGGCCGAUUAGGUAGUUGGUUAGGUAACGGCUUACCAAGCCAUUGAUCGGUACGGGUUGUGAGAGCAAGAGCCCGGAGAUGGAACCUGAGACAAGGUUCCAGGCCCUACGGGGUGCAGCAGGCGCGAAACCUCCGCAAUGUGAGAAAUCGCGACGGGGGGAUCCCAAGUGCCAUUCUUAACGGGGUGGCUUUUCAUUAGUGUAAAGAGCUUUUGGAAUAAGGGCUGGGCAAGACCGGUGCCAGCCGCCGCGGUAACACCGGCAGCUCUAGUGGUAGCAGUUUUUAUUGGGCCUAAAGCGUCCGUAGCCGGUUUAAUAAGUCUCUGGUGAAAUCCUGUAGCUUAACUGUGGGAAUUGCUGGAGAUACUAUUAGACUUGAGACCGGGAGAGGUUAGAGGUACUCCCAGGGUAGAGGUGAAAUUCUGUAAUCCUGGGAGGACCGCCUGUUGCGAAGGCGUCUAACUGGAACGGUUCUGACGGUGAGGGACGAAAGUUAGGGGCGCGAACCGGAUUAGAUACCCGGGUAGUCCUAACUGUAAACGAUGCGGACUUGGUGUUGGGGUGGCUUUGAGCUGCUCCAGUGCCGAAGGAAGCUGUUAAGUCCGCCGCCUGGGAAG
rnacentral:rRNA from 1 species